CGGGCUCCCAAGCGCAUUUAAAUCCGUUUCUGUGCGAGCGAAAUCAGGCAAACGUUUUGGUGAACAAGUCUUGGACCCAUGAGGACACUGGUCCAGAGCGCUGGCCUGGGUUCCACCCCGAGUGUCACCACAGCCUCAGCCCUCAAUUUAAGUAUCGGCUGCAACAACGCUUGGAAACUGUAAGGUGUUGUCCGAGCCGGCGGUGAUCCUCUUAACCCAGAUGGAGGCUGGAAGUCCAAAGUGAAGGUGCUGCUGGUUUGGUUCCUGCUGAGAGCUCCCUUCCUGGCUUGCAGACAGUCUCCUUGUGUGUCAUCACGUGGCAGAGAGUGUGAACCUAUAUCCUGAAAAACACAUGAGGAUUGCUGAGAAGGGAACGCUGCAACACAGCCACCAGAAGAUGCAGAGCUGCUGCUGACUUGGGAGAAGCUGGAAGGACCUUAUUUAAUGGAACCCAUACUGAUGUCCACCAUGCAUCUGGGUGCCGGGUAUAGAGGCUGAGAAGCCAAAAGGAGCACGGAAGUGGAAUGGUUUGGGCGGGAGCAGGCCAGCAGCUUCCUUUGCGGAGUAGAAGAGUGACACGCACAGGUAAAGGGAAGGGGUCUCUCCCGCCCCCAUCAGGACCUGUUCUAUCCCCGUCUCCACAUUCCGUCCUGUAGGCUGACGGGACGGAGGUUGGGAACUAACAUUUAUUGAACACCCACCGUGUGCUCAGAGAUGUCACACCCAGGAUUGUUUUCAGUUUCAUUUACUUGACUUGGAAACUUCCCACUGAGGAAUCUGAGGCUCAGGAAGACAAAGCUAGUAAGUGGCAGAGCUGGGCUUCGAACCUGGGUCUGUCUGACUUCAUCGAGCUUUGGUGCCAGUGGUCCAGCCAAAAGUUUUCAAGAGACUGCUCUUUGGGUGUCACACUAGCAUGUCCUUAUGUGUGUAUGUGUGAGGUCCGUGAAGGCAGGAGCCUCAUCAGAUUCAUUUCUAGCUCCUCCUGAACAGCAUCCAGCAUAGCAGUGAGAGUGAGGUGAGAGGGGCUUGAGAAACUGUAAUAGGGAAGCACAAAUCUGAUUCCACAUUGGGUGUUUCUUUUACUUUAACAUUUGUAUUCUAUUGCUUUCCCUACAAGAUAAUCACUAAAGGGAUGUUGCCUAUAAGCUUAAAUUAUACAUAAUGUCCCAUCUCUGAGAAACCUGCCUUCUAGGUAAUGAGCCUUAAGCUGAAAUAACUUUGUUUAGCUCACCGGCAACAUCCUGACCAGGCCCACCUGUGAAUGACUGCAAGAAGGAAGAAAUUAACACCUCCCCUCUGGAGGCUGACCGGAACAGGAAAUGUUUGACUUUACUCCCUCUCCUUUUAGUAUAAAAGAAGCCUGAAUUCUAACUCAGGCAAUAUGGCUCUUUGGGACGCUAGUCCACCAUCUUCUCAGUCUGCUGGCUUUCUGAAUACAGUCGCUAUUCGUUGCCCCAACAACUCGUCCCUUGAUUUAUGAGCCUGUUGUGUGAUGAGCAGUAUGAGCUUGGACUCGGUAGCAAAAUGUUUGUUGGAGCCAUGAUGGAUAGGCGAUGGAUGGAUACAGUGUUCAGCAUCCUCGCUGUGAGAGCCCAGGAGUCCCCAGGCACAGGCUGGGACAGCACUCCAAGUGCUCACUCCUCUCUCCUCUUUAUGUGUGCAAGGUAAGUAAGGAGAAAGGGUGGCUUUCUUGGUAUUCCUUGAGUCCCUGAUCAGAGCCAACCCCGUCCCAGCUUCUCAGCCUUGAGUCCGCUCUCACCAGUAUCUGGCCCCACUGGCUUUUCUCAUGCCUGCUGCAGCAGGAAAGGGUUCAGCACUUCUGGUCUGAAAAGUCACAGAAACCUCUUCAGAAACCGACACGGAUGUGUAAAAGGGAGGUGCACUUCUUAGCCUUCAUCCUCCUUACAGAGAUUUGAGUGUUUCGCUGCAUUCAUUUAAAAGUCAAUUUACCCCAGGAGGUGGGGAAUAGUGUGCUCUAGAGCUCAAAUGGUGUGAUUUUUGCAAAAGUCAGACACUGGGUAAAUCAACACGGCUCCCAUUUGAAAACCAUCAAAAUCAAGGUCUAUUUGUUUAAGCUGCUUCUUUGGCACAGACAGUCUGCCAAGACUACAGAUGAAACGGUUGUUCCUGCUGAUGGCUUUGAGAGACCAAUCUUCCUUCUCUCUGCUGAGAAUCCCAGUAGCUUAACCCCUCCAUCCUCUUCUGCUCUGCCAUCUUUGCCCCGAGCAUUUCUUGGAGCUGUCGUGAGCACCCAAUGGGCUAGGGGGUGAUAGCUUUAAUAAAGAUUGAGCUACCUCUGUCUGAAGGAUUCUCUCUUCCAUGAACUCUUGCUUUGCACAUAAGUUUUUCACAUAUUUACACACAUCUUUCCUGCUUGAGGGCAGGGGUCAUUUCCUAUGAGGCCUCCGUCUCACACAUACUGUUAAAUAUAUCUCUGUGUGCAUGUACGUGUGUGCAUGCACGGAUAGAUAAACGUGCGCUAUGACUGGGGUUGGAAGAGUUAAAAGCCAGCUCCACGGAGCCAGUUGGCAGAUAACUUUUCAGCCCAGCUGCUGGGGAGGUGGAGGGGGUGGCUGAUAACCAGACCAAGUCAGCAAUUAUCAUUUAAAGGACUUUAUGUAUUGGGGAAAGCUUUUAGGGAAAUAGCCCAGAUGUCUUUUUCUUCUAAACCCCACUCAAGAUUCUCGCCAUGGCUGCCCAGAGAAAUAGAGGUGCCCAUUCGCUUGGGAGAUUAGUUGUUCCUUGAGACAUUUUUUCAAGGGCAGAAAAAGACAGGGCCAGUGGGGACAAGAAAAAUCAGCCAACGGAAGACAAGUGAGGACAAAGAUGCUAAGAACCCUUUUUCCAUCAUUUUUCAGCGUGGAACCUUGGGAUGUUGCCUGUGGAUCUUCCUGAGAUGAAAAAGUAGAUUCGCAGUUAACACAGAAAACAGAAGGAAGAAAGAGGAAAAUGACGUGGUAUAUCCUAGUUACCACGGAGGAGAGAUUAGCUGUGAACAGGGGGGAAGCCGAUUUUGUAUCCUGCAUUUAUGGCUCGGGAAGCUCUGUUCAUUCUGCCGUGAGGUUCAGCGUUUCUACCUCUUUGGUUGUCUUUGUGAUACGCGCUCGGUGAAAAGAACCUCAGGUAUUGCUCGUGACGUGGAUUCCACUGAUCUUCUCAGGACUGAGGUCUUUUGAGGCUGUGCCACCCACUCCUGGUGUAGAGGCUGCACCCUCAUAAUUUGGAUUUCCCAGAAUUAGGCUCAUUUACAUAUUCAUGCCCAACCAUAUGCCCCAGUUCUUUAUUCAAGGCAUAUGGCUGCCUUAGGAUGGCACCCCAGGUUCUUACCCCAGGCACUGCCCUCUUCUCUGACCGCACCAGCCUCUGUCUGUACCUCUAAGCCCUUGCAUUUCUGGAUGAAAAGUGAUCCCUUCCCCCAGCUGCUUGUUAAUUGCUCACUCCUCCUUUCAGACUCCAUGUCACCCUUCUGAACUUGUUUCUUAUCUGCAAAACUAGACUGAGUAUCAUCUGUCUUAGUCUGGGCUGCCCUAACAAAAUACUUG